rnacentral:rRNA from 1 species
CCUACGGGAGGCAGCAGUGAGGAAUAUUGGUCAAUGGACGAGAGUCUGAACCAGCCAAGUAGCGUGAAGGAUGAAUGCCCUAUGGGUUGUAAACUUCUUUUAUAAAGGAAUAAAACGAGGCACGUGUGCCUUGUUGCAUGUACUUUAUGAAUAAGGAUCGGCUAACUCCGUGCCAGCAGCCGCGGUAAUACGGAGGAUCCGAGCGUUAUCCGGAUUUAUUGGGUUUAAAGGGAGCGUAGAUGGGUUGUUAAGUCAGUUGUGAAAGUUUGCGGCUCAACCGUAAAACUGCAAUUGAUACUGGCAGUCUUGAGUAGAGUUGAGGUAGGCGGAAUUCGUGGUGUAGCGGUGAAAUGCUUAGAUAUCACGAAGAACCCCGAUUGCGAAGGCAGCUUACUAACCUGUGACUGACAUUGAUGCUCGAAAGUGUGGGUAUCAAACAGGAUUAGAUACCCCUGUAGUC